rnacentral:lncRNA from 1 species
UGCCUUCUCUCCUGCUUUACCACGAGAGGGCGCUGAAAUAAUAGGCCAAGAGCCCUGCAACCAAGACUAACCGUGGCUGUCGAUUGAUCCAUUGUUACUAUAGUCCCUGGGUGGCAGGCUAUCUCCUGGUCCCUUAAGCCCUUCUCGGGAGGGGACCCUUGGCCUCUUCUCAACCAGCUUCCUCCUCUUCGCUUUUAGCCUUGAGAGUGACUGCAUCUUCCUUCGAGGAGCUGGGACCAGCAGGGAUGCACUAGAACCAAAAUUCCAGACUGGAGUCCAGGUACUGGAGCUGAGUCAGCGGUACACCUCCCGGAGCUUCUGCCUUCAAGAGUGUCAGUUGGAACCCACGAGCCUUACCUUCCUCUGUGCCACUCUGGAGAAGAGCCCAGGGCCUCUGGAAG